GACGAACGCUGGCGGCGUGCUUAACACAUGCAAGUCGAACGGGAUGCUCAGGAAGGAGAUUUCGGUCAACGGAAUGAGCUAUCUAGUGGCGGACGGGUGAGUAACGCGUGAGGAACCUGCCUUUCAGUGGGGGACAACAGCUGGAAACGGCUGCUAAUACCGCAUGACAUAUCUGUGUCGCAUGGCAUGGAUAUCAAAGAUUUAUCGCUGAGAGAUGGCCUCGCGUCUGAUUAGCUAGUUGGUGAGGUAAAGGCCCACCAAGGCGACGAUCAGUAGCCGGACUGAGAGGUUGGCCGGCCACAUUGGGACUGAGAUACGGCCCAG
rnacentral:rRNA from 1 species